rnacentral:rRNA from 1 species
GUCCACGCCGUAAACGAUGAUAACUAGCUGUCCGGGCACUUGGUGCUUGGGUGGCGCAUCUAACGCAUUAAGUUAUCCGCCUGGGGAGUACGGUCGCAAGAUUAAAACUCAAAGGAAUUGACGGGGGCCUGCACAAGCGGUGGAGCAUGUGGUUUAAUUCGAAGCAACGCGCAGAACCUUACCAGCGUUUGACAUCCCGCGCUAACCCAAGAGAUUGGGUGUUCCCUUCGGGGACGCGGUGACAGGUGCUGCAUGGCUGUCGU